UACGUAGGGUGCAAGCGUUGUCCGGAAUUAUUGGGCGUAAAGAGCUCGUAGGCGGUUUGUCACGUCGGAUGUGAAACCCUGAGGCUCAACCUCAGGCCUGCAUUCGAUACGGGCAGACUAGAAUUCGGCAGGGGAGACUGGAAUUCCUGGUGUAGCGGUGAAAUGCGUAGAUAUCGAGAGGAACACCUGCGGCGAAGGCGGGUAGCUGGGCCGACACUGACGCUGAGGCGCGAAAGCCAGGGGAGCGAACGGG
rnacentral:rRNA from 1 species